rnacentral:tRNA from 1 species
CCCGCCUUAACUCAGUCUGGCAGAGUGGUCGGCUGUAGACCGACAUGUCCCCCGUUCAAAUCGGGGAGGCGGGA